GGGUGGGAGUAGAGGACUUCCGUCGCUGGUUGGGACAACGGAAGAGCAAUCUCGCCCUGACCAAUCAUCACUCAUAAUCCUUUCCGACCCCUCCCACCGCCUCCGGGAGCCAAUCCCUUGCCCCGUUGCCGUCAGCCCCAGCUAGAGGUGACCAUAUAGAAAUGAAGGGGUGAACUUGGAGUAGGUAGAAAGAAGGCCGCAUCCUGAUGUUCCGUGUCUACUCGUGCUCGAAUGCUCCAGGAAGACAGAGAGGAUACAGUGGGGAUGGACCCAGCGGCUCCACGAGAGCCUCCUCCGGGAACUGUGGUUAACGCCCUCCGCAGUGUACGUGAACCCUCAGUAUUGGAACACGAUGGAUUAUUCCAGAACGACCGCCUCCUACCCUCUAAUGGUACCUUCCGAGUGAAUGGUCUCACCUCCGGCCCUGUCAGUGGGAAUGUGAGAGUUCCAUUCCAUACACCAGGAGUCAAGCAGGGUGUUUGAUCCAGAGACACAGAAACAUAUCCUGACGAAGGAACCAAGGCUGGAUUCUUGGAGAAAUGGCUGGUUCCAGAGCUGGGGCAGGAAAAGUACAAGACGCAUCUGGAGCAUCUUGAUGUUCCAGAAGCUCUGCCUGUUGGAUCCAAUGUAUUUAUCUCAUAGACAAGUGCCUUUUUGGAGAACUCUUUUUUCCCCCUGCAAAGGGGGGAGAGGAGGGAAGGGAGCUUGGGUCCAGCUGUCCUCUCUUACCUUCUUUUGCAAGCCCUUCUUUCCUCAUCGCUGUUCCUCUGCCAUCUCCAGCGACCUCACCAGAACAAUCCUUUCUCCAGAGGGCCUUAAAAGGACAUUGGUUGGAGGCUAAGGGUAAAUCAAGAACAGCAGGAGCCCAGGUCAACAUCUCUGUGUUUAAGAGAAAGUCGGAGAUCCUUAGCCUGGCAUUCAGUGUGUAGCUCAUGCUGGAAGAGCAUCCCUCAUCCAGGCCACAAUAAAUUGCUUCUACCAUGCUCCGAUUUCACCUUGCCUUCUGGGACCCUCAACCCUUUGUACAAGCUGUUUCACUUGCCUAGGCGCUAUUUUUUAUUUCAUCAAGCCGUAAUUUUAUGUCUUGGCUUUACUAUGAACACUUUACAAAUAUUACCUCAUUUAUCUUCCCAACUCUAUGUUGUAAGCACUAUUAUUACCUCAUUUAAUAGCUAAGGACCUUAAG